rnacentral:snRNA from 2 species
GCACUUCAGCAGCACAAAGGCUAAAAUUGGAGUGAUACAGAGAUUAGCUUGGCUCCUGUGCCAGGAGGACAUGCAAAUUCAGGAAGCAUUUCACAUUUUU